rnacentral:rRNA from 1 species
GAUGAACGCUGGCGGCGUGCCUAAUAAAUGCAAGUCGAGCGAACAGACGAGGAGCUUGCUCCUCUGACGUUAGCGGCGGACGGGUGAGUAACACGUGGAUAACCUACCUAUAAGACUGGGAUAACUUCGGGAAACCGGAGCUAAUACCGGAUAAUAUAUUGAACCGCAUGGUUCAAUAGUGAAAGACGGUUUUGCUGUCACUUAUAGAUGGAUCCGCGCCGCAUUAGCUAGUUGGUAAGGUAACGGCUUACCAAGGCAACGAUGCGUAGCCGACCUGAGAGGGUGAUCGGCCACACUGGAACUGAGACACGGUCCAGACUCCUACGGGAGGCAGCAGUAGGGAAUCUUCCGCAAUGGGCGAAAGCAUGACGGAGCAACGCCGCGUGAGUGAUGAAGGUAUUCGGAGCGUAAAACUCUGUUAUUAGGGAAGAACAAAUGUGUAAGUAACUAUGCACGUCUUGACGGUACCUAAUCAGAAAGCCACGGCUAACUACGUG